AUCCCAUGAUGAUGGCAUUUUCUCAACAACUCCUUGAACCUCUCCCAUGCCUCAUAUAAAUAUUAUUCCUCAAGUUGUGAGAAAGAAGUAAUCUCAUUACGAAGCUU